AAAAAGAUAAGCUAAUUAAGCUACUAGGCUCAUAUCCUAUUUAUAAAGGUUCUAAUCCUUUUCUUUUUA
rnacentral:tRNA from 3 species